AUUCACAGCAGUAGUUAUAAACAAUUCCUUCCAUGUUUAAUAAGACACUAUAACUCCCACAACACUCCCAAAACAGGACGUAGACAUGACUGCCGCAAAAAACAGGGGCAGCUGGCUCAGUGACGUUGGCCAAUCUUCUGACUCCAUCCACGGUUCAUCCACGUUUGAAAACUGGCUUGAUGACGCAUCAUAUGCGCAAGUGACUGCGGUCAAGUGAGCCGUCAUUUGUGAGCCGCGGUCAAGCCAGCCGCUUCUUAUCCGCCGCAUAAAUUUUCUUGCGCUUUUACACUAGCCUUUACGGUAGCGCCUUUUCGCUUUAUAUCCCGAUCAGAUCCCUUAGUGCAGCUGCCGUACCAUACCGUGAUGCAGUAAGUUAGCAGGCUCUCAAUGGGCGAGUGGUGGAAGGUCAGCAGAGGAUGUCUGGGAUGAUUGUAUUAAAGGCUGAGCUGUAGUCCACGAAGAGCUUUUGAACGUAGCUCUGCCGCUGUUCUAGGUGACUCAGCACAGAGUGGAGGGCGAUGGCGUCUUCUGUGGAUCUGUUUGCGCGGUAUGCAAACUGGUGGGGGUCGAAUUCUGAGGGAGGUAAUCCUUGGUGUGCUGAAGGACUAGUCUCUCAAAGCAUUUCAUGAUUACGGCUGUGAGGGCCACAAGGUGAUAAUAGUUCAGGCUGGUGAUGGGAGACUUCUUUGGCAAUGGGAUGACUGUGGCUGAUUUUAGACGGGAUGGCUGCUUCAUCCAGUGAGAGGUUGAAGAUUCUGGUGAAGAUGAGGGUGAGCUGGUGGGCACAUGCUCUUAGCACUUUACCAGGUAUUCCGUCUGGACCGGACGCCUUCCUGGGGUUCACUGCUAGGAACACACGUCUGACAUCGUGCUCCGUUACUGUGAAUGGAGCGGUGCAGGAACCAGGUGAUACGCAAAGAUGUCCCAUGAUGCUCUUUGACAGUAUAUCAGAUGGAAUCAAAUCAGCAGUUGAGAGCAGCAGGUAAGUCACUGACUGAAGUCGUUGACUGUUUUCUUAGUCUGUGUAAGUGGAAACACAGAGGACAAAAUGAGGCAGGAUGUGAAACAUCUUGUUUUAUCACCUGUUUAUAGGACUGCUUAUUCUUGUUGCAUUCGUUUAUAUGUAUUUCUAUAUGUGUUUGUGUGUGACUGCAUGCACAAAAAAAGUGUGAAGAAUCAGAGUGACGUCUGUAUCUUAUCAGCCCCAUGAUGUUUUACUUUAUUCAUGUAUACUUAUCUGUGCAGGAGAAUCAAGAAGCAGUCAGUACUGAAGUGAGUACAAUCCUUCAACUCUUUGAGGGACUAAACUUUGGAAACAAACCAUCCCAGCGGUCUCUAAGGAAGAAAACUGACUACUUGAAGUAUGGAGAGAAACAAGAAAACCCUUUCCUUGUUUAUUCUGCUGCCACUUCUACUGGUCUGCAAAAAUGAGGAGUGUCCCUGAGGAGGCUGUUGAACAGUUCAAGCUGCACCGCUUUAGUCUUGUACUGAGCGGUGAUACAUGUACUCAUUAUCUGUCUUAAAGAAGCUUCAUCUCUUCUCUCUUUAUGGCUGCUCUCUGUUUAUACCUACUCUGUCUGAUUGGCUAUUUGUGACUCCAAUCUGUGACUUUAAAUCAAAUUUGAAGUUUGACAAACAUUUUUUUCCAGUUUCUGUCUUUCCAUGAGUUGUCCCUUAAUCUGAACUGCAACCAAAUGAAGAGUGGAAUUACUUCCUUCAAGCCAUCCUGUCAUAUAAAGGUGAAUCCUCCUGCGGAGCCAAAGGUCAACUUCACCUCUGUUUCCUGGUUGUCCCAAGUCCCUGAACAUGAAAGGAUCAGUUCAUACAGAAGUGAAGUGCAGUGGAAGAAGCAGGAUCAGUCAUGGAGUGAUCCUGCUGUGCGCAAAAACGUGGCAUUCAAUGUGGACAGGAGUGCAAGGCAGAGCUGGAGCCAGAUUUGCUGAUACGAGGCGAGAGGUACGAGGCACGCGUUCGUGUGCGGUCUAUUUUUCAGCACCGCAAGGGAGCCUGGAGUGACUGGAGCCCCACUGCAUCAUGGGAGUCACCAGCAGGAAGAAAGAAAAAAACUAAGCAUGUGGAAUUGCUAUAAAUUUUCACAGCACACAUUGCAACCUGUACCCAGAUAUUUAAAAUCACAGAUGUACGGGAUGUAUGUAAAACUUAGGUUUUUGGUAGCACUUGUGGAAUUAAAGAAAUUAUUUUACUGCUACUAUUCAUAAUCAUCAUCAUUAAUCAUUGCAUUAAUCAUUAUUUCAUCAAAGCAUUUGUUGAAGCUGUUGGCAUAAUGUUACAAUUUGGAUUACAGGUGUUAUCAUCAUCACAUACUAACCUUUUCAUUACAGGUCCAGUCAUAAUCAUUUUCUACACACCUUGUAUUUUGUGCUUAUUUAAAGAGUUGAAGCUCGGUCAGUUAGUUGAAGGUCGGAAGCUUUGUUUUGCGCUAGGUUCAGACAAUCUAUUGUGAAAGUGACUUUGAGCUAUGGAAAGAACACGCUUACAAAACACAUAUACCAUGUUAUUCAUGAUUAUCUUUUAUUCAUUUAUAUCCUUUUUAUUAAGCUUUGAGCAGUGGCAUUUGAUUAGAACAUUAAUUCAACAUAGUACAUAUAUAGUUUCAUUUAGGUUAUUGCACACAUGAGAGUGGCCUCUGCCCUCACAGACAGAGUGCGUUUGAGAUCGAGACACACACACACAAACAGUAGUUAGACUCAUCUUUAGGUAAGAGUUCAAAUAAUAAGUUUGCAAAACCUUGUAACUGCAAAAUCAUGUCUGCAUAAGGGACAGUUUGUUCUAGGGGAUAAGCGAGAGUUGAAAGAUUAACGGGAAGCACCUGGCCUCGAGACGGAGAAGAUGUCCUUCUUAAAUGUGUCAAAAGUCGUCAACAGAACAUGUGUGGUUUUGAAACUUAUGUCUGUAUCGUACCUUCUUGACGCAUGAGGGGGCGUUCUAAUGCCCUGAUAUUAUAAAACAAUUGAUUGUAUAGGUUUGGGGUGAGAUUUACAGCUGAUGUUGCAGCGUACAUCUCCCACGCGUGUUCAUUAAAAAUCAUCGUUUG